rnacentral:rRNA from 1 species
UGGGGAAUAUUGCACAAUGGGCGAAAGCCUGAUGCAGCGACGCCGCGUGAGGGAUGACGGCCUUCGGGUUGUAAACCUCUUUCAGCAGGGAAGAAGCGAAAGUGACGGUACCUGCAGAAGAAGCGCCGGCUAACUACGUGCCAGCAGCCGCGGUAAUACGUAGGGCGCAAGCGUUGUCCGGAAUUAUUGGGCGUAAAGAGCUCGUAGGCGGUUAGUCGCGUCUGCUGUGAAAACUCGAGGCUCAACCUCGGGCUUGCAGUGGGUACGGGCUGACUAGAGUGCGGUAGGGGGUGACUGGAAUUCCUGUGUAGCGGUGGAAUGCGCAGAUAUCAGGAGGAACACCGAUGGCGAAGGCAGGUCACUGGGCGCAACUGACGCUGAGGAGCGAAAGCAUGGGGAGCG